AACGCUAUGUUUUCAAUUGAUAUGGUUAUACUAAAAUUAUUAUCAGGUCUAUCAAAAAAUUAUUUUAUCUUUCUAUAAAGAUAAAAGUUGCUGCUACUGCUUUCGUUCAGUUUCAGCCUCUGGAUCUGAUUCUGGAUCAUAAAUAAACUGGUCUGAAUAUUGUCAAAUAUUUAGACGUAAGGGGUUUCUUUACAGUUCUGUAGUCUUCACCUACCAAAAAAAUACAAAGUAUUAAAUACAACAAAAUUGUAAAAAAAAAAAAAAAAAAAUUAGUUUUCGUUUUGUUCGGUUUUAAUUUACAUUUUAUUUCCCGCCACUUAAAGUUCAAAUCUCAACGGACGCCAUUGAGGAUAGUGAGGAGGAGGACAGCGCGUUUCACCACAGGACGGAGAAGACGAUAAUUAGCGAUUAUUUCUGCAAAAAGUUGUCCAUUCUUAUGUCGAAUACAAUCCUGAAUGAAAUUCUAACGUGUUUUAAGUAGUUUGGCGUCGAAAUCAACGUUUGGGAGAAUAUGAAGGAUAUCUGAAGAUUAUGCACCGCUCCGUCUUGUUGGAGAAGCAGCUUGUUGGGACGUCGAGGUGUCUGUUAAAAAUCCUGUGUGUAAUUGAGCGAUACAACAUAGGAGAUUCAUCUGGAGACCAUGAUAUAAUCACCGCAAUACAAGAUGAGGAGGAAGCGGCUCGUUGUGACGUCCAGGGGUCUGUUAAAAAGGAAGCGGCUCGUUGUGACGUCGAGGGGUCUGUUAAAAAUCCUGUGUGUAAUUGA
rnacentral:lncRNA from 1 species